rnacentral:rRNA from 1 species
UACGUAGGGUGCGAGCGUUACUCGGAAUUACUGGGCGUAAGGCGUGCGUAGGCGGUUCUCCAAGUCCGUUGUGAAAGCCCCGGGCUCAACCUGGGAAUGGCAGUGGAAACUAGGGGACUGGAAUCUGGCAGAGGGGGGUGGAAUGCCGCGUGUAGCAGUGAAAUGCGUAGAGAUGCGGCGGAACACCGAUGGCGAAGGCAGCCCCCUGGGCUGAGAUUGACGCUGAGGCACGAAAGCGUGGGGAGCAAACAGG